rnacentral:rRNA from 1 species
CNNCNNGGCGGCGGGCUAACACAUGCAGUCGAGCGGUAGAGAGAAGCUUGCUUCUCUUGAGAGCGGCGGACGGGUGAGUAAUGCCUAGGAAUCUGCCUAGUGGUGGGGAUAACGUUCGGAAACGGACGCUAAUACCGCAUACGUCCUACGGGAGAAAGCGGGGGAUCUUCGGACCUCGCGCCAUUAGAUGAGCCUAGGUCGGAUUAGCUAGUUGGUGAGGUAAUGGCUCACCAAGGCGACGAUCCGUAACUGGUCUGAGAGGAUGAUCAGUCACACUGGAACUGAGACACGGUCCAGACUCCUACGGGAGGCAGCAGUGGGGAAUAUUGGACAAUGGGCGAAAGCCUGAUCCAGCCAUGCCGCGUGUGUGAAGAAGGUCUUCGGAUUGUAAAGCACUUUAAGUUGGGAGGAAGGGCAGUAACCUAAUACGUUAUUGUUUUGACGUUACCGACAGAAUAAGCACCGGCUAACUUCGUGCCAGCAGCCGCGGUAAUACGAAGGGUGCAAGCGUUAAUCGGAAUUACUGGGCGUAAAGCGCGCGUAGGUGGUUCAGUAAGUUGGAAGUGAAAUCCCCGGGCUCAACCUGGGAACUGCUUUCAAAACUGCUGAGCUAGAGUACGGUAGAGGGUGGUGGAAUUUCCUGUGUAGCGGUGAAAUGCGUAGAUAUAGGAAGGAACACCAGUGGCGAAGGCGACCACCUGGACUGAUACUGACACUGAGGUGCGAAAGCGUGGGGAGCAAACAGGAUUAGAUACCCUGGUAGUCCACGCCGUAAACGAUGUCAACUAGCCGUUGGGAGUCUUGAACUCUUAGUGGCGCAGCUAACGCAUUAAGUUGACCGCCUGGGGAGUACGGCCGCAAGGUUAAAACUCAAAUGAAUUGACGGGGGCCCGCACAAGCGGUGGAGCAUGGUGGUUUAAUUCGAAGCACGCGAGANCUUACCUGGCUUG